GACGAGCCACCCGAACGUUAUUCGGAAUUACUGGGCUUAAAGGGUGCGUAGGCGGUGCAGCAAGUCGGGAGUGAAAUACCUCAGCUCAACUGAGGAACUGCUCUCGAUACUGCUGUGCUUGAGUGAGACAGAGGUAAGCGGAACAUCGGGUGGAGCGGUGAAAUGCGUUGAUAUCCGAUGGAACACCGGUGGCGAAGGCGGCUUACUGGGUCUCUACUGACGCUGAGGCACGAAAGCGUGGGGAGCAAACAGG
rnacentral:rRNA from 1 species